UUAAAAAUUGUUUUUCAUUUUAACAGUAUUUCAGUCUGUCAAGGAAGAAGAUAGUUUUCUAUACCAGUUUUGACCAGCGGAAACGAGCAAAUGCAGCUUUUUUAAUAGGUGCAUAUGCUGUAAUAUACUUGAAGAAAACACCAGAAGAAGCAUACAGGACGCUUCUGUCUGGAUCUAAUCCACCGUAUAUUCCAUUUAGAUGAAUGUAUCUGGCACUGUUCUUAGACAGAACCGAGUGAUACAAGACAAUUGUGAGAAGGUCAAGAUCUGUUUCUCCAGGGGAGUCAGCAAUUUAUGAGUAGUGUUCGUUGUCAUCUGAUGCAUUUGAAAAUGUAGGCCUACCUUGUUUAUGUCAGAAGGUUUGUUUGUUUCUACAACCACUCAACAAGGAAUGAUCCAAUUGUCUCCAUUCCACUAGUGUCCACAGGAGCCAGAUACAGUAUGAACUUCUGGGAUGGCAGACUUAAAUGUGAAGACCAGUUUAACUAUAAAAUCUUAAACCAUCAAGCACUUCAUUUUAAAGAAUGGUAUCAAAUCAAUGAUUGCUUUUAUCAUCAGAGAGUUUAUGCAGUCAUCUGAUUGCUGGUGGUUCUCCAAAGACCAGGAAGUUUACUGAUUUGUUGACAUCUCUGUCAAUUAUUAUAAAAUUGGCUUAAAAAUUCACACAGUUGAAGUGCGUUUUAAUAAUAAUAAUAACUCUUAUGUCAAUGUUAUUUUCUAACAUCACCUCAUUCUAUAUAAAAUACAGGAAUUAUGAGUUAAGUUUAAGACAGUUUUCUUCACCCUUUUUAGGCUUGUUGGAUUCUAAUCUUCUCCUGAUCUGAAAUAAUUGCAUUGGCCAUUUCCACUUAUAGCAGGUUCAGCUCCUGGAAUAUUUCUGCAAACAGUUCUGAGGGUUGAAACAGUGUCAAUUCUUUUGUCUGUGUUUUUUUUCUUUUUUAAUUUUUAUUUUGAAGAAGAAACAAGUGAAAUACUUCUCCAGAAUUUUUCUCUUCUGGAGAUUACAGCGCAGCAUUUAAAGAGUCUAGAGAACUGCUUCUCUCUUUCCUAUCAAAUAGUGCUGUCUCAAUUGUUCAACUUAGGCAGGAGAUUAAUAACAAUCAAAUAGUAUUUUUCAUAUAAGAGUUUUAAUAACUAACACUACCUAGUUUUUUCAGAAUCUUAGCUUAGUUUAUUUUUCUUUAAAAGCAAAACUUAGUAGUGUAGGAAGCCAAACUUUUUCAGUAGUGUAGGAUGUGUGUUACCUGAGAAUAGCUUUAUUUUGUUCACCUAGUCUAGAAAACUUAUUGUUCAAAAUUAUAGUAAAUUGCUAUGUCUUUAGGUUCCUUCUCUACUUCUUCCCUUGUCAAAGAAAAAAUUAAGAUAUGUAGAAACAAGGUACUGACAAAGAAAAGAAUCUUAAUUAUCAACUCCUGAAAUUAAAAGACAGGAAACUUAGGAGCAAUUGUCUUUUUCUUGCAUGAAACUAUUCUGAAACCUUUUUUCUUCAAGAAAAAGUCCACUACCUAUACCUUGCAACCAAUCCCUUAUGAAGAUGCAAGUAAUAUAGUAGAAGUGCUGUUUCUGCUUGACUGGUGCAGAGCAGUGAGAGUAAUUGGUUCUGAUUUCUUGUGAGACUGGUUAAGAACUACAAAGCAAUUACGUUAAAUAAUUAUUUAACUUCAUAAUGAAAAUUAACAUGAUUGUAGUAUUAAUAUAUCAUUAAUAUUGCAAGUAUCAAACAAGCAUUCACAGCAGAGCCAGAGUCAAAAUUCACAAGAUUCUAUUCCAAAAUAGAAUAGUUAGCUACUCUGGGAUAGGAAAAGAGAGGAUUGAAGGGAAGCAAUCUUAAGCAGGGCCUUCCUGUUUACUAAAGGAACAUGGGGUUCUGAAGUUUGGGGAGAAUUUUUCUAUAUGCUGGAAGAAAUAAACAUCUUGAAUAUUUUUUUCUUAUUUGGUGUCAGGCUGGAAAGCACUUAAGUUUUUUUUUGACGGUGUUUUGCACUGUGUCAAGUCUUGGCACUGGGUAAAAGCCUAAGAAGAUUCUGUUACCUGUGUGGUAUAGUUUAUCAUGCUGGGAAAUAAAGCUUUCUAUUCUAGCUGUACAGGAGGUUAGAAAAAGAGGAGA